rnacentral:rRNA from 1 species
UCAAGCGAACAAGGGCGCAGGGCGAAUGCCUUGGCACUGGGAGCCGAUGAAAGACGUGAUAAGCUGCGAUAAGCUUCGGGGAGCUGCAAAUAAGCAUUGAUCCGGAGAUUUCUGAAUGAGGAAACUCACCUGGGUUCAUACUCAGGUACGUUAUACUGAACUUCAAAAUAGGUAUAUCGAGGGAACCGCCUGAACUGAAACAUCUAAGUAGGGCGAGGAAGAGACAUCAAACGAGAUUCCGUAAGUAGUGGCGAGCGAACGCGGAAGAGGGCAAACCGAGAGUAGAAAUACUUUCGGGGUACGGACUGCUUUUAAGACUCAAUCUGUUAACCGAACGGCAUGGGAAGGCCGGUCAGAGAGUGUGAGAACCACGUAGGUGAAAACGGAGAGAGCUGCGCAGGAUCCAGAGUACGGCCAGACACGUGAAACCUGGUCGGAAUACGGGGGGACCACCCUCCAACCCUAAAUACUACCCAGUGACCGAUAGCGUAUAGUACUGUGAAGGAAAGGUGAAAAGCACCCCGGGAGGGGAGUGAAAAAGAACCUGAAACCCUGUGCCUACAAGCACCUAGAGCACGUCAAAGUGUGAUAGGGUACUUUUUGUAGAACGGUCCGGCGAGCGAUUGUAUGCAGCAAGGUUAAGGACUUAAGGUCUGGAGCCGAAGCGAAAGCGAGUUUGAAAAGGGCGUUAAGUUGCAUAUAAUGGGCCCGAAACCGGGUGACCUACCCAUGGUCAGGUUGAAGUGGAAGUAAAAUUCCAUGGAGGACCGAACCGACCUCCGUUGAAAAGGCGGCGGAUGAACUGUGGGUAGCGGAGAAAUUCCAAUCGAACCCGGAGAUAGCUGGUUCUCCCCGAAAUAGUUUUAGGACUAGCCUCAAGUUAGAUACCUGGAGGUAAAGCACUGAAUAGCCUAGCGGCCGAGAGGUUAGCGAAGCUUAUCAAACUCAGAAUGCCAGAGUAUUGAUGCUUGGGAGUCAGACAGUGUCAGAUAAAUGUCAUUGUCAAAAGGGAAACAGCCCAGAUCUACAGCUAAGGUCCCAAAGUCAGGUUAAGUGGAAAACGAUGUGAAGAUACGCAGACAACCAGGAUGUUGGCUCAGAAGCAGCCACUCAUUCAAAGAGUGCGUAAUAGCUCACUGGUCGAGCGUCUUUGCGCGGAGAAUUUAACGGGGCUAAACCUGACACCGAAGCUUAGGCAAUACAGCAAUAUAUUGGGUAGGGGAGCGUUGUAUACGCGGAGAAACAGUAGCGUAAGCGGCUGUGGAGUGUAUAGAAGUGAGAAUGCCGGAAUGAGUAGCGCGAAUGCAGUGAGAAUCUGCAUGGCCGAAAGCCUCAGGUUUCUGGAGGAAGGUUCGUCCGCUCCAGGUUAGUCGGGAGCUAAGGUGAGGCCGGAAGGCGUAGCCGAUGCACAGACGGUAGAGAUUCCGUCACCACCAAAAGAGUUAAGCACAGGGACACAUAUGAAGUCUCAGAGCCGGGUGUUGGUUCCGGUAGAGAUCGAGGGAAAUUAGUACCGAAGUCUGAGAUGGAAGAUGGCGAGAAAAGCUGUGUGUAUUUCUGAGGUGCCCGUACCGCAAACCGACACAGGUAGGUAGGAAGAAGAUUCUAAGGCCAACGGGAGAAGGGUUGUUAAGGAACUCGGCAAAUUGACCCCGUAACUUCGGGAGAAGGGGUGCUCCAGAGAUGGAGCCGCAGAGAAUCGGCCCAAGCAACUGUUUACCAAAAACACAGGUUUGUGCUAAAUCGAAAGAUGACGUAUACGAGCUGACGCCUGCCCGGUGCUGGAAGGUUAAGAGGAGAUGUGCAAGCAUUGAAUCGAAGCCCCAGUGAACGGCGGCCGUAACUAUAACGGUCCUAAGGUAGCGAAAUUCCUUGUCAGGUA